rnacentral:tRNA from 1 species
GGGCCUGUAGCUCAGAGGAUUAGAGCACGUGGCAACGAACCAUAGUGUCGGGGGUUCGAAUCCCUCCUCGCCCA